CCUACGGGUGGCAGCAGUGAGGAAUAUUGGUCAAUGGACGAGAGUCUGAACCAGCCAAGUCGCGUGAAGGAUGACUGCCCUAUGGGUUGUAAACUUCUUUUAUAUGGGAAUAAAAUGUUCCACGUGUGGGAUUUUGUCUGUACCAUUUGAAUAAGGAUCGGCUAACUCCGUGCCAGCAGCCGCGGUAAUCCGGAGGGUCCGAGCGUUAUCCGGAUUUAUUGGGUUUAAAGGGAGCGUAGGUGGAUUGUUAAGUCAGUUGUGAAAGUUUGCGGCUCAACCGUAAAAUUGCAGUUGAAACUGGCAGUCUUGAGUACAGUAGAGGUGGGCGGAAUUCGUGGUGUAGCGGUGAAAUGCUUAGAUAUCACGAAGAACUCCGAUGGCGAAGGCAGCUCACUGGACUGCAACUGACACUGAGGCUCGAAAGUGUGGGUAGCAAACAGGAUUAGAUACCCGAGUAGUC
rnacentral:rRNA from 1 species